rnacentral:rRNA from 1 species
AGAAGGCCUUCGGUUGUAAAGGACUUUUGUCAGGGAAGAAAAGGCUGUUGCUAAUAUCGACAGCUGAUGACGGUACCUGAAGAAUAAGCACCGGCUAACUACGUGCCAGCAGCCGCGGUAAUACGUAGGGUGCGAGCGUUAAUCGGAAUUACUGGGGCGUAAAGCGAGCGCAGACGGUUACUUAAGCAGGAUGUGAAAUCCCCGGCUCAACCCGGGAACUGCGUUCUGAACUGGGUAACUAGAGUGUGUCAGAGGGAGGUAGAAUUCCACGUGUAGCAGUGAAAUGCGUAGAGAUGUGGAGGAAAUACCGAUGGCGAAGGCAGCCUCCUGGGAUAACACUGACGUUCAUGCUGCUCGAAAGCGUGGGUAGCAAACAGGAUUAGAUACCCUGGUAGUCCACGCCCUAAACGAUGUCAAUUAGCUGUUGGGCAACUUGAUUGCUUAGUAACGUAGCUAACGCGUGAAAUUGACCGCCUGGGGAGUACGGUCGCAAGAUUAAAACUCAAAGGAAUUGACGGGGACCGCACAAGCGGUGGAUGAUGUGGAUUAAUUCGAUGCAACGCGAAGAACCUUACCUGGUCUUGGACAUGUACGGAAUCUCCAGAGACGGAGGAGUGCCUUCGGGACGUACACAGGUGCUGCAUGGCUGUCGUCAGCUCGUGUCGUGAGAUGUUGGGUUAAGUCCCGCAACGAGCGCAACCCUUGUCAUUAGUUGCCAUCAUUUAGUUGGGCACUCUAAUGAGACUGCGGUGACAGCCGGAGGAAGGUGGGGAUGACGUCAAGUCCUCAUGGCCCUUAUGACAGGGCUUCACACGUCAUACAAUGGUCGGUACAGAGGGUAGCCAAGCCGCGAGGUGGAGCCAAUCUCACAAAACCGAUCGUAGUCCGGAUUGCAUCUGCAACUCGAGUGCAUGAAGUCGGAAUCGCUAGUAAUCGCAGGUCAGCAUACUGCGGUGAAUACGUUCCCGGGUCUUGUACACACCGCCCGUCACACCAUGGGAGUGGGGGAUACCAGAAGUAGGUAGGGUAACCGCAAGGAGUCCGCUUACCACGGUAUGCUUCAUGACUGGGGUGAAGUCGUAACAAGGUAGCCGUAGGGGAACCUGCGGCUGGAUCACCU